CGGUCACCUGUCCGACAGCUGGCCCUCUCGUGCCACAAGGAAAGCCGGGAACCGGAAGGUUCCCGGCUUAGGCCUCGCCGGGACCCUCUGACUUCAGUACAUAAAGAUUUCUUUGCCACGGUCUGCAAGCAGGCCUGCAACAGAUCCCACGAUGUUGAUUGUGUGACGGUUCAGUGCUAACCGAAAACUUGUAGUGAAGUCUUCCAGCUUUCGUGCCCAAGCCUCUCUGCUGAGUCAGCAGAGAUUUCUUCCGUUUUGCACAAACACCAAGUGUGACGAAACACAGCCUUAAGCAAGCUGAGACAAGAAACAGAUAGAUACAAAAUGGACUCCUGAAAAUUUGCGAAGGGCAGAACAAAGCAAUUUCUGCGGGUUUAUCGAUUGAAAAGGCACCUAAAACUUUUAAAAUAUCUCAUAGCACACUGCAAUACAAAUUAAAGAGUGGAAAUGAAUUGGACCAGAAGAUGGGGGCAAAAUGGAUUGUAGAAGAUUUAGAAAAGGCAAAAAAUUUUGCUGCUGCAGGUUUUUCGAUUACUAAGGUAGCUGAAUUUUUUAAAAUAUCUUGUAGCAUCUGCAAAAAGUUCAUUUUGCAAAUUCGGAAACAGUCCACGUAUUCAUUUGAUUGAUUUGGUCCACGUAUUGAUUUGGAUCAAACAGCACGCACUGGCUUAUAGGAACAGAUGGCCAGAGAUUGUAUUUGCUUCCACAGAAGAAUUGAAAAUAUUAGUCAAAUAAUUGAGCCAAUAUUACAUCUACAGCGUGAUGCACGAGAUGAGCGAACA